AUGCAAGUCGAACGAGCCUUCGGGCUAGUGGCGGACGGGUGAGUAACGCGUGGGCAAUCUGCCCUCAGGAGGGGGAUAACGGCCGGAAACGGCCGCUAAUACCCCAUAUGCCGAGAGGUGAAAUGAAUUUCGCCUGAGGAUGAGCCCGCGUCUGAUUAGCUAGUUGGUGGGGUAAUGGCCCACCAAGGCGACGAUCAGUAGCUGGUCUGAGAGGAUGAUCAGCCACACUGGGACUGAGACACGGCCCAGACUCCUACGGGAGGCAGCAGUGGGGAAUUUUCCGCAAUGGGCGAAAGCCUGACGGAGCAACGCCGCGUGAGGGAUGAAGGCCUCUGGGCUGUAAACCUCUUUUCUCAAGGAAGAAGACAUGACGGUACUUGAGGAAUAAGCCACGGCUAAUUCCGUGCCAGCAGCCGCGGUAAUACGGGAGUGGCAAGCGUUAUCCGGAAUUAUUGGGCGUAAAGCGUCCGCAGGCGGCCUUGUAAGUCUGUCGUUAAAGCGUGGAGCUUAACUCCAUUUCAGCGAUGGAAACUACAAGGCUUGAGUGUGGUAGGGGCAGAGGGAAUUCCCGGUGUAGCGGUGAAAUGCGUAGAUAUCGGGAAGAACACCAGUGGCGAAGGCGCUCUGCUGGGCCAUAACUGACGCUCAUGGACGAAAGCCAGGGGAGCGAAAGGGAUUAGAUACCCCUGUAGUCCUGGCCGUAAACGAUGAACACUAGGUGUCGGGGGAAUCGACCCCCUCGGUGUCGUAGCUAACGCGUUAAGUGUUCCGCCUGGGGAGUACGCACGCAAGUGUGAAACUCAAAGGAAUUGACGGGGGCCCGCACAAGCGGUGGAGUAUGUGGUUUAAUUCGAUGCAACGCGAAGAACCCUUACCAGGGUUUGACAUCCUGCGAAUCCCUUGGAAACGAGGGAGUGCCUUCGGGAGCGCAGAGACAGGUGGUGCAUGGCUGUCGUCAGCUCGUGUCGUGAGAUGUUGGGUUAAGUCCCGCAACGAGCGCAACCCACGUCUUUAGUUGCCAGCAUUCAGUUGGGCACUCUAGAGAGACCGCCGGUGAUAAACCGGAGGAAGGUGUGGAUGACGUCAAGUCAUCAUGCCCCUUACAUCCUGGGCUACACACGUACUACAAUGCUACGGACAAAGGGUUGCAAGCUCGCUUGAGUUAGCUAAUCCCAUAAACCGUGGCUCAGUUCAGAUCGUAGGCUGCAACUCGCCUACGUGAAGGAGGAAUCGCUAGUAAUCGCAGGUCAGCAUACUGCGGUGAAUACGUUCCCGGGCCUUGUACACACCGCCCGUCACACCAUGGAAGUUGGCCAUGCCCGAAGUCGUUACUCCAACCCUUGUGGAGGAGGACGCCGAAGGUGGGGCUGAUGACUGGGGUGAAGUCGUAACAAGGUAGCCGUACCGGAAGGUGCGGCUGGAUCACCUCCU
rnacentral:rRNA from 1 species